CGAGGGCUUCACCGCCUAUCAAGUCCUGACAAACUCCGAAUGCCGUCAGACAUAUCCGGGAGUAAGGGCGCGGGUGCUAAGGUCCGCGUCCGAGAGAGGAACAACUCAGACCAUCGGCUAAGGUCCCGAAAUCCGGGCUAAGUUGAAGACAAUAACGAGGUGGGAUUGCAUAGACAGCUAGGAUGUUGGCUUGGAAGCAGCCAUUCAUUUAAAGAGUGCGUAACAGCUCACUAGUCGAGUGAUCCCGCGUGGAUAAUAAUCGGGCAUAAGUCCGGUACCGAAGCCAUGGAAUCACGCUUAGGGCGUGAUUGGUAGGGGAGCAUUCCGUACAGCGGCGAAGGUCGGUGGCGAUGCCGGCUGGAGCGUACGGAAAAGCAAAUGUAGGUAUAAGUAACGAUAAUGGAGGCGAGAAACCUCCACGCCGAAAGACCAAGGUUUCCUGAUCAACGCUAAUCGGAUCAGGGUAAGUCGGGACCUAAGGGGCAGCCGCGAGGCGGACCCGAUGGAAGAAACGGUAAAGAUUCCGUUACUGUCGCCGGGAGUGAAGCGGGGACGGAGGAGUGACACCGCCGCGGACUGACGGAAUAGUCCGUUGAAGAGUGUAGGUAUUCGGAGGCCAGGCAAAUCCGGCCUCCGAGCUGAACUUGACAGUACUGCGAGCCUUCGGGCAAGCAGACAGCGCGGGUAAGCAGACUCCCAAGAAAAUCCGCUAAACAUAUGUCGGCGACACCCGUACCGCAAACGGACACACGUGGUCGGGUAGAACAUACUAAGGCGCUGAGAGAUUCACCGUUAAGGAACUAGGCAAAUUGACCUCGUAACUUCGGGAUAAGGGGUCCCACAGCGAUGUGGGCGCAGAGAAUAGGUCCAGGCAACUGUUUAACAAAAACACAGGGCUGUGCGAAAUUUAAAGAUGAAGUAUACAGCCUGACACCUGCCCGGUGCCGGAAGGUUAAGAGGAGAAGUCAUCGCAAGAGAAGCUUUGAAUUGAAGCCCCGGUAAACGGCGGCCGUAACUAUAACGGUCCUAAGGUAGCGAAAUUCCUUGUCGGGGAAGUUCCGACCUGCACGAAUGGUGUAAUGAUCUGGACACUGUCUCAACGGUGAGCUCGGUGAAAUUGUAGUAUCGGUGAAGAUGCCGAUUACCCGCAACGGGACGAAAAGACCCCGUGAACCUUUACUGCAGCUUAGCAUUGGGACCGGGUGCGUGAUGUGUAGGAUAGUCCGGAGACAGCGAAGCGGGGGCGCCAGCCCUCGCGGAGUCGACGUUGAAAUACGGACCUUUGCGCAUCUGGUCUCUAACGCGUGAAACGAGGACACUGCUUGGUGGGUAGUUUGACUGGGGUGGUCGCCUCCAAAAGAGUAACGGAGGCUUCUAAAGGUGCCCUCAGACCGAUUGGUAACCGGUCGCAAAGAGUGUAAUGGCAUAAGGGCGCUUGACUGAGAGGACGACAAUCCGAACAGGUAGGAAACUAGAGCAUAGUGAUCCGGCGGUACCGCAUGGA
rnacentral:rRNA from 1 species